rnacentral:rRNA from 1 species
CCUACGGGGGGCAGCAGUGGGGGAUAUUGCACAAUGGGGGGAACCCUGAUGCAGCGACGCCGCGUGGGUGAAGGAGUGUUUCGGCUUGUAAAGCCCUAUCAGCAGGGAAGAAGAUGACGGUACCUGCCUCAGAAGCCCCGGCUAACUACGUGCCAGCAGCCGCGGUAAUAGGUAGGGGGCACGCGUUAUCCGGAUUUACGGGGUGUAAAGGAGCCCAGGAGGCAAAGCAAGGCAGGAGUGAAAACCCAGGGCCCAACCCCGGGACGGCUGUUGAAACUGGAUGGCUGGAGUUCAGGAGGGGGAGGCGGAAUUCCUGGUGUAGCGGUGAAAUGAGUAGAGAGUAGGAGGAACACCGGUGGCGAAGGCGGCCUGCUGGACUGUGACUGACGUUGAGGCUCGAAAGCGUGGGGAGCAAACAGGAUUAGAUACCCGAGUAGUC